UGCCAGGUCUACCUCAGGGUCAGUGU
rnacentral:piRNA from 1 species